UACGUAGGGUGCAAGCGUUAAUCGGCAUUACUGGGCGUAAAGCGUGCGUAGGCGGUUUGUUAAGUCCGUUGUGAAGGCCCUGGGCUCAACCUGGGAAUUGCAGUGGAUACUGGCGAGCUAGAGUGCGGUAGAGGAUGGUGGAAUUCCCGGUGUAGCGGUGAAAUGCGUAGAGAUCGGGAGGAACACCCGUGGCGAAGGCGGCCAUCUGGACCAGCACUGACGCUGAGGCACGAAAGCGUGGGGAGCAAGCAGG
rnacentral:rRNA from 1 species